rnacentral:rRNA from 1 species
GCUCAGAUUGAACGCUGGCGGCAGGCCUAACACAUGCAAGUCGAGCGGUAACAGAUCCAGCUUGCUGGAUGCUGACGAGCGGCGGACGGGUGAGUAAUGCAUAGGAAUCUGCCCGAUAGUGGGGGAUAACCUGGGGAAACCCAGGCUAAUACCGCAUACGUCCUACGGGAGAAAGGGGGCUUCGGCUCCCGCUAUCGGAUGAGCCUAUGUCGGAUUAGCUAGUUGGUGAGGUAAAGGCUCACCAAGGCAACGAUCCGUAGCUGGUCUGAGAGGAUGAUCAGCCACAUCGGGACUGAGACACGGCCCGAACUCCUACGGGAGGCAGCAGUGGGGAAUAUUGGACAAUGGGGGCAACCCUGAUCCAGCCAUGCCGCGUGUGUGAAGAAGGCCCUCGGGUUGUAAAGCACUUUCAGCGAGGAAGAACGCCUAGCGGUUAAUACCCACUAGGAAAGACAUCACUCGCAGAAGAAGCACCGGCUAACUCCGUGCCAGCAGCCGCGGUAAUACGGAGGGUGCAAGCGUUAAUCGGAAUUACUGGGCGUAAAGCGCGCGUAGGUGGCUUGAUAAGCCGGUUGUGAAAGCCCCGGGCUCAACCUGGGAACGGCAUCCGGAACUGUCAAGCUAGAGUGCAGGAGAGGAAGGUAGAAUUCCCGGUGUAGCGGUGAAAUGCGUAGAGAUCGGGAGGAAUACCAGUGGCGAAGGCGGCCUUCUGGACUGAC